rnacentral:lncRNA from 1 species
UCGCGUCAACUAAAAUUAUAAUAAAAGGCAUUUGAUUUGUCAUGGUCAAAAAUCUGACAUUCGGAUUUUAUCAUUUCCGUUGAUUAAUGAUGCGCGCGGUUUACUGAAAAAACGCUCCUCCAAUUGCAAUCGCCACGUCGGCAGUGGCGCUUAGGCUUAACGAUCUUGGGCAGGAUUGGGAGACGUCAACCUAGUUCUUCAAUUAACUGGUCCUGACCACGAGCAUGUCAAGAGACCUUCAGAACGAACAUGAAUGAAACGACACGAACAUGAAUGAAACGACACGAACAGGCGAUUCACCUACGAAUUUAACUGAUUAUACAGAGAUACAGAAGUAAUAGAAUCUCUUUUCUUUUCCUCGCUAAAGAUUUAUACAAAGAUGAAGCGACACGAACAUGAACUCUCCUAUCCGCCGUCCGUCGACCGACCGGUCGAUCAGUGCACGAGGUAGGUGACGGCAAGCGCGGCGGCCAUGAGCAGGUACGCCACGGCCUGGUCGACCCUCCUGCCGUCGCCGGCCACGGCCGCCAACCCCUCCGCCUUCCUCGCCCCGCCCUGCGCCGCGCCGGCAGCGGGCACGUCGACGUUCGCCGCGCGAGCCAUCGCGUGAUGACCGAUGAACGACCCGCUCACAAGAAUCGGCUCGACCGACGGUAUGCCGGGUCCUUCCCUGGUGAGCCGACGAAGAAGAAAGAAGAUCUGGAUCCGGGCUGUGGGUGUUGGUCGUGGCCAGUUUGUGCUUGGUGGAGAGGCGGUGGAUCUGGCGUGUUUAUAUAGCGGGAUAGGAUUUGGGAGGGUAUUACGGGCCGGAUUCCCGGUCAAACGUGCCUGCCUGCCGGCCUUUUGCUUGGGCGCGUAAAAGUCGUUUGCUCGGAAGCUUCUGCGGUGUUUCCACGUGGCUGAGACGAGGAUGCCGCGUCCAAAUCGAAUCAGCUCGGCUUUGGCUUUUGGCCAAGCGUCACCGAUGAGAACUUCUAGUAGACUAGACUAGUCAUCGUCGAGAUAAGUUUUUUUGAACCAAUCAUCAAGAUAAUUAAAACUGUUAAAAUAUGUACGAAAGAAAAAAUAGAAGGUAGUCGUACUAGAAGAGGUGGACUGGUCUGGUCGCCUUGUGGUGCAAAUGAUGCACUAGCCGUAGUUCACGUAUUUAGACUUCGCGAAAAAACUAAAGUAAGAGUAGGGAAAAGGUGUGGCUAAACGUAGUACGCCACCUUAUCUAUUGACCUCGUUUUUGUUUCUCCCAAACGAGAAAAAUGCAUGGAAUUCAAACUUCUCGGGUCAACGAUAG